CAGGAUCCAGGUGUCCUUCACAGGUAUGGCAUAAACAUCAGGGUUGGCCAUUACUGGAACACUAAACAAACAUUCAUCAAGGAACACAGGAUCAUUCUCAAGCGUUCUAGAACACAACUACUAACUAGCUCGGCCUGGUACCACGGAUUUGUGCUACGGCACCAGGAGAGCAAAAUCAACACAGAAAAAAGCAAGAAAACUCAGAGAAAAAAUAAAACAAAUCUACAAUGAACACAUCAGUAUGUAUAUUUCUACAAACUUGUGUGAGAAGUUCUGUAAGAUCAAGUCCUAAAAGCAGAAUUGCUGGCUCAAAGGAUAUGAGUAACAUCAGCUGACUCGAAGUUAAGAAGAUUGGCCUCCACAAUCAGGGUGGGCCUCAUCCAAUCAGUAAAAGGCCCUAAGUGCAAAACUAAGGCUUCCCUGAAGAAGAAAUGUCCACCUAACAGACAGCCUCCCUGUGGAUUUCAGACUUGCCUAGCCAGCCCCAGCAAUUAUGUAAACCAGUUCCUUGCAAAAAAAAUCUCUUUAUAUGUAUAUAAACCUGUUGAAAAUUUUAUAUAGCAUAUAUAUAUAUGUAUAAUACAUACAUGUGUAUACAUGCAUACAUAUGUGUCUGUAUAUUUAUACACAUACAUAAUCUCCAUCUGGUUCUCUUUCUCGGGUAAAACACUAAUUGAUACACCUAUAGGGAUAGGUGAAUAGUAAGAAGUAUAAUUAAUAAUCUUUUGUUAGGUCUCAGUAAAACCUUUUUACUUUGCUUCUCAGAAAAUGAGAAUGCAAAGGGCCCUAAUGACUUGUUAAAAAACCUAAAUCUCUUCCAUGUCUGCUGGUUUCAAAUUAUCUGCUUCUAGCAAAACUGAAAGAAGACCUAAUUGAAUUGUCAGCUGCUAAAUCAUUAAAAAUCCUUUAUUGUCAAUGACUGCUAUAUGCUUUUUCAAACACAGUUGAGAAGAACAAAGAACUGACACCUUUAUAAGCUCUAAGGGCAGAGAUUUCGGUAGCUUUGUUCACCACUCAUCACCAGUACUUAGUAGAAUGUCCAGUACACAGCAGGAGCUCAAAAUACAUUUGGUAAAUGAAUACAUAGUAAAACUCCACCAUUCUGAUCUACUUACUUACAUGUAAAAAUUUUGUUAGAAUCUACAUGUAUAUAAAUCAAACAUGAGGAACAGAAUGAAAGCUAAACCUGUCUCAUUCUAGCAAUGAGGUAUAUUAUUUCAAGGAUUCAUUAAGCUAAUUGGAGUGAGAGGAAGCCCCACUAAGCUUAAGAUUUCCUAUGAAAAUGUCACACUUUUAGUUUUACUAAUUAUCAAAAAUUUUACAAUGUAUACUAUUAUUAUAAAAAUCCAAGGAAAAAUGUUAAGACUCUGAGCCUUAUGAACUCAGAAAAUGUAAAUAGUUUUACAUUUUAAUUUACAUAGGCAUUUCUGUUGCAGUGAUUCAUAAGAUAAUUAAUAUAAUUUGCAAGCAUAAAAAACAUUAGGUUAGUACACCAGGGACACCUGGAACCCCAGCACCUUAGGAGGCCAAGGUGGGCAGAUCACUUGAGGCCAGGAGUUCAAGACCAAUCUGGCCAACACAGCAAAAACCCAUCUCUACAAAAAAUGCAAAAAUUAGCUGGGUGUGGUGGGGCACGCCUGUGAUCCCAGCUACUCGGGUGGCUGAAGCAGGAGAAUCACUUGAAUCCCUACCUCAAGGCAGCGGUUUCAGUGAGCUGAGACUGUGCCACUACACUCCAGCCUGGGUGACAAGAGUCAGACUGUCUCAAAAAAACAAACAAAUAAAUGAAUAAAUAAAAGAAGGGAAAAUCGAGAGAAAAAAACAGAAAACAUUCUGCUACCAUUUUUGAAAAAAAAUAUUGCAAAGGAAAGAACGUGUGUAUACAUUUUUGUAUGUAUUUUAUUUCAUACACAAGAAUUCUCACUGGAAAAGACACCAGAAGCUAGUAAUAAUAAUGACUUGUCGGGGAGAACUGGGUUUUGGGGGGUCCUGAUAUAGGGAGUUUUUACACUGAAUACAUUUUUGUAUCUUUUAAAUGUUUGCUCAUUCAAAUGUCAACUUAUAUUUUGG
rnacentral:lncRNA from 1 species